rnacentral:rRNA from 1 species
GCAGUCGCCGCGGUAAUACGUAGGGUGCGAGCGUUAAUCGGAAUUACUGGGCGUAAAGCGUGCGCAGGCGGUUGUGUAAGACAGGUGUGAAAUCCCCGGGCUUAACCUGGGAACUGCGCUUGUGACUGCACAGCUAGAGUAUGGCAGAGGGGGGUGGAAUUCCACGUGUAGCAGUGAAAUGCGUAGAGAUGUGGAGGAACACCGAUGGCGAAGGCAGCCCCCUGGGCCAAUACUGACGCUCAUGCACGAAAGCGUGGGGAGCAAACAGGAUUAGAUACCCCUGUAGUCCCUGUCUCUUAUAC